rnacentral:misc_RNA from 1 species
GAUGAAGAACGCAGCGAAAUGCGAUAAGUAAUGUGAAUUGCAGAAUUCAGUGAAUCAUCGAAUCUUUGAACGCACAUUGCGCCCGCCAGUAUUCUGGCGGGCAUGCCUGUUCGAGCGUCAUUACAACCCUCAGGCCCCCGGGCCUGGCGUUGGGGAUCGGCGGAGCCCCCCGCGGGCACACGCCGUCCCCCAAAUGCAGUGGCGGUCCCGCCGCAGCUUCCAUCGCGUAGUAGCUAACACCUCGCGACUGGAGAGCGGCGCGGCCACGCCGUAAAACACCCAACUCUUCUGAAGUUGACCUCGAAUCAGGUAGGAAUACCCGCUGAACUUAAGCAUAUCAAUAAGCGGAGGA